AGAGGGAGACAGUUGCACAGUGUGGGAAAUUUGAAGAUGAUGCAGAUAUUAGUCAUCAUGAUGACAAUCACAGUCCAACGAUUGAAAGGCUAGAUAAUGUUGAUGAACCUGAAGCCUUGAAGGAGAAUAUCCUAGCAGCAGGUAAAAGUACCCCCAGUUCAUGACUUUGAUCUGAAUGUGGGCUUGGAUGAGAAUGGGGAGUCUAAAACAGUGUUAACUUCUGCCCCCACAAGCUUGACAGCAAAACCUACUCCUGUAACGAAGCAUGAAGAAUUACCUGGCUGGUCACUUGCAGACAUAGAAAAGAUGGAUAUCAAUCCCAUUCAUCUAGCCAACAUAGAUAGAAGCAUAGUCGAGGACAUGGAAGAUUAUGAUGAAG
rnacentral:misc_RNA from 1 species